CUGACACUUGGUCUAGUUUCAUUGUGAGUGCCCUGCUGCCUGACACCUCCUGAGCCAUCUAGCUGGGUCCACGCCCAGCCCACCCUGCAGCUAACACGAAACUACGGAUAUCUGCAAGGAUGCCGCUACUGAGCUUGGACAAGCACCCGGAAUCAGGAGACGGGAAGAUGUCCCAUCUGUUUCAUUACCUGGCCUUCUCCCCCCGCGUUUGUUAAGUUUUCUGUCCCUACAGAGGCUUUCCUCCACUUUCUUUCCAGACAGAUUCUACUGUUGCCUCAUGUUGUAAGACAAUGCCUGGUGCCGGUUAAAACGUCUUCGUGGGGGGCGCCUGGGGGGCGCAGUCAUCUCCGCUGGGAGCCAGCUUCUUC